rnacentral:rRNA from 1 species
AAUCAACGCUGGCGGCGUGCCUCAGACAUGCAAGUCGAACGCGAAAGUCCCCUUCGGGGGACAAGUAGAGUGGCGCACGGGUGAGUAACACGUAGGUAAUCUACCUUUGGAUGGGGAAUAACAACCGGAAACGGUUGCUAAUACCGCAUAAUGCAGCGGCACCUAAUGGUGACAGUUGUUAAAGCGGGGGAUCGAAAGACCUCGCGUCUGAAGAGGAGCCUGCGGCGGAUUAGCUAGNGGUAAGGUAAUGGCUUACCAAGGCUACGAUCCGUAACCGGCCUGAGAGGGCGGUCGGUCACACUGACACUGACAUACGGGUCAGACUCCUACGGGAGGCAGCAGUCGGGAAUUUUGGGCAAUGGGCGAAAGCCUGACCCAGCAACGCCGCGUGAAGGAU